rnacentral:rRNA from 1 species
UACGUAGGGGGCGAGCGUUGUCCGGAAUUACUGGGCGUAAAGGGCGCGCAGGCGGCCGAGUAAGUCCGCUGUGAAAGACCGGGGCUCAACCCCGGGGUGUCAGCGGGGACUGCACGGCUGGAGUCUCGGAGAGGGAUGCGGAAUACCUGGUGUAGCGGUGGAAUGCGUAGAGAUCAGGUGGAACACCGAUGGCGAAGGCAGCAUCCUGGACGAGUACUGACGCUGAGGCGCGAAAGCGUGGGGAGCGAACGGG